rnacentral:rRNA from 1 species
GACGAACGCUGGCGGCAUGCCUAAUACAUGCAAGUCGAGCGAACAGAUGAAGUGCUUGCACUUCUGACGUUAGCGGCGAACGGGUGAGUAACACGUAAGGAAUCUACCUAUAAGCGGGGGAUAACAUUCGGAAACGGGUGCUAAUACCGCAUAAUAUCUUCUUCCGCAUGGAAGAAGAUUGAAAGACGGCUCUGCUGUCACUUAUAGAUGACCUUGCGGUGCAUGAGUAAGUUGGUGGGGUAAAGGCCUACCAAGACGAUGAUGCAUAGCCGACCUGAGAGGGUGAUCGGCCACAUUGGGACCGGGACACGGCCCAAACUCCUACGGGAGGCAGCAGUAGGGAAUCUUCCGCAAUGGGCGAAAGCCUGACGGAGCAAUGCCGCGUGAGUGAAGAAGGCCUUCGGGUCGUAAAACUCUGUUAUAAGAGAAGAACAAAUUGUAGAGUAACUGCUACAGUCUUGACGGUAUCUUAUCAGAAAGCCACGGCUAACUACGUGCCAGCCGCCGCAGUAA